GGACGAACGCUGGCGGCGUGCUUAACCCAUGCAAGUCGAACGGAAAGGCCCUGCUUUUGUGGGGUGCUCGAGUGGCGAACGGGUGAGUAACACGUUAGUAACCUGCCCUUGACUUUGGGAUAACUUCAGGAAACUGGGGCUAAUACCGGAUAGGAGCUCCUGCUGCAUGGUGGGGGUUGGAAAGUUUCGGCGGUUGGGGAUGGACUCGCGGCUUAUCAGCUUGUUGGUGGGGUAGUGGCUUACCAAGGCUUUGACGGGUAGCCGGCAUGAGAGGGUGACCGGCCACAUUGGGACUGAGGUACGGCCCAGACUCCUACGGGGGGCAGCAGUGGGGAAUAUUGCACAAUGGGCGGAAGCCUGAUGCAGAAACGCCGCGUGCGGGAUGACGGCCUUCGGGUUGUAAACCGCUUUCGCCUGUGACGAAGCGUGAGUGACGGUAAUGGGUAAAGAAGCACCGGCUAACUACGUG
rnacentral:rRNA from 1 species